rnacentral:rRNA from 1 species
GGCGGCGUGCUAAUACAUGCAAGUCGAACGAGUUCUCGUUGAUGAUCGGUGCUUGCACCGAGAUUCAACAUGGAACGAGUGGCGGACGGGUGAGUAACACGUGGGUAACCUGCCCUUAAGUGGGGGAUAACAUUUGGAAACAGAUGCUAAUACCGCAUAGAUCCAAGAACCGCAUGGUUCUUGGCUGAAAGAUGGCGUAAGCUAUCGCUUUUGGAUGGACCCGCGGCGUAUUAGCUAGUUGGUGAGGUAAUGGCUCACCAAGGCGAUGAUACGUAGCCGAACUGAGAGGUUGAUCGGCCACAUUGGGACUGAGACACGGCCCAAACUCCUACGGGAGGCAGCAGUAGGGAAUCUUCCACAAUGGACGCAAGUCUGAUGGAGCAACGCCGCGUGAGUGAAGAAGGCUUUCGGGUCGUAAAACUCUGUUGUUGGAGAAGAAUGGUCGGCAGAGUAACUGUUGUCGGCGUGACGGUAUCCAACCAGAAAGCCACGGCUAACUACGUGCCAGCAGCCGCGGUAAUACGUAGGUGGCAAGCGUUAUCCGGAUUUAUUGGGCGUAAAGCGAGCGCAGGCGGUUUUUUAAGUCUGAUGUGAAAGCCCUCGGCUUAACCGAGGAAGCGCAUCGGAAACUGGGAAACUUGAGUGCAGAAGAGGACAGUGGAACUCCAUGUGUAGCGGUGAAAUGCGUAGAUAUAUGGAAGAACACCAGUGGCGAAGGCGGCUGUCUGGUCUGUAACUGACGCUGAGGCUCGAAAGCAUGGGUAGCGAACAGGAUUAGAUACCCUGGUAGUCCAUGCCGUAAACGAUGAAUGCUAGGUGUUGGAGGGUUUCCGCCCUUCAGUGCCGCAGCUAACGCAUUAAGCAUUCCGCCUGGGGAGUACGACCGCAAGGUUGAAACUCAAAGGAAUUGACGGGGGCCCGCACAAGCGGUGGAGCAUGUGGUUUAAUUCGAAGCAACGCGAAGAACCUUACCAGGUCUUGACAUCUUUUGAUCACCUGAGAGAUCAGGUUUCCCCUUCGGGGGCAAAAUGACAGGUGGUGCAUGGUUGUCGUCAGCUCGUGUCGUGAGAUGUUGGGUUAAGUCCCGCAACGAGCGCAACCCUUAUGACUAGUUGCCAGCAUUUAGUUGGGCACUCUAGUAAGACUGCCGGUGACAAACCGGAGGAAGGUGGGGAUGACGUCAAAUCAUCAUGCCCCUUAUGACCUGGGCUACACACGUGCUACAAUGGAUGGUACAACGAGUUGCGAGACCGCGAGGUCAAGCUAAUCUCUUAAAGCCAUUCUCAGUUCGGACUGUAGGCUGCAACUCGCCUACACGAAGUCGGAAUCGCUAGUAAUCGCGGAUCAGCACGCCGCGGUGAAUACGUUCCCGGGCCUUGUACACACCGCCCGUCACACCAUGAGAGUUUGUAACACCCGAAGCCGGUGGCGUAACCCUUUUAGGGAGCGAGCCGUCUAAG